rnacentral:rRNA from 1 species
AGAUUAAGUUAUUAAGGGCGCACGGUGGAUGCCUUGGCACUAGAAGCCGAUGAAGGACGUUACUAACGACGAUAUGCUUUGGGGAGCUGUAAGUAAGCUUUGAUCCAGAGAUUUCCGAAUGGGGAAACCCAGCAUGAGUUAUGUCAUGUUAUCGAUAUGUGAAUACAUAGCAUAUCAGAAGGCACACCCGGAGAACUGAAACAUCUUAGUACCCGGAGGAAGAGAAAGAAAAUUCGAUUCCCU